rnacentral:lncRNA from 1 species
GUUCCUUUCAUCACAACAAACGUUAUGGAGAUUAUGCGAUACCAGGCACUGUGCUAGCUGAUAGGGUGGGGGUCAGAGUACCCAGCGAGGCUAGACAUUGUGUGGGAUUCAGAGAAAGCAUAUAAUAGGGCUCCUCCCACAAGAAGCUUGUGGCCACACCAGGGAGAGAGAAUGGAUGCACAUGAGCAUACGAAACUCUUAGAAGGACUUAGGCAGGAAGCACAGGUGAUAGGCAGAAUGUGUGAUAUGAGGGUAAGGGCUGAGCAACCAACGCAGAGGAAUUGGAGAGGCCAGAAUAAUCAGAAAAGCUUUGGAGGGGGUAGGAUGUGACCUACAUUUUCAGAACAAGAGUGGAGUAGAAAAGGCAUUCCAGGUGGGAUAAACAGCGGAGGCAAAUACAUGAGAGGGAAUUAAAUCUGUUGUGAUUUAUUUGAUAGUAAGAUUGACCUGCCUGGCAUCGAGUUGAAGUAGAGGCAAAAGACACUGAAUAUUUGCAAGGAGGUCCUUAGAAUGGAGUGAUAUGGAAAUAAGCAGCCAUUAUAGGUUCUUGAGCAGGAACAUUUUGCAUGAAAAGCACUGCUUUGGAAUGAUGAGUCUAGAAAGGUAACACUGACCUCUCUAAGGUGGCAUUCUAGGGAGAGACCUGAGUAUUUGGGGCUGAGAUUGAGAGAGGAGCUUACUUUUCUUGGUAUAUUUUUAUUUACUAUUCAAGUUCUGCAUCAUGUGUGUUUACUGCCUAUUUAAUAAUUAUUUUUAAAUUUAAAGAACCCAUUGUGGCAGCAGGGGGAAUUCUCUAAGCUCAGUUACUAAAGGGUUAUGAAGCUGGGUAUGGUAGCACACACCUGUAGUCUCAGCUACUUGGGAGGCUGAGGUGCGAGGAUCGCUUGAGUUUAGGAGUUAGUGGGAGGAUUUCUUGAGCCCAGGAGUUAAGAGACCAGCCUGGGCAUCAAAAAAAUUAAGUUAAAUUAAAAUGUUAAAAGGUUCUGUAUAUGGUGGAGAUGGAGGAGAUCGGGGGAGGAGAUGAGAAAGGGGCAAGCAUAAGUAGGAACAAAUGCAAUAUUUCCCCAGCUGCGCGAGGGCAGGAGCAGGAAGAACUAAACCCAAUUAGGAACAACAGAGGACAGAUGAGUAGAUAGCAGACAUCUGACGGGAAAUGGCCACGCCACACUUCUCACCCAGGCAGUUCAACGUAGGCAAUUUCUGAGUGCCCUGGUAUUUUUUGUGUAAGUGUCUAGAAAACAGAUCACAAAGUUAGCCAAAUUAAAAAGGAAGCAGGGAGUCCUAUUUCUCCGAGAAGAAAGAUUUACAGGUGGGAUCUCAGGCAGGAGCCAAGCUGGAGAAGCAGGCUUGAUUCCUUGUAGUGGGUGAGGAGACUGCUGGGAGAGGGCAGGGAAGCAGAGACCGGCAAAAAGCUGCCCCAACAAGAAUCCUGUGCCUGCCAACCUGGUUUACAAACAUUUCCCACUUUAUCCCCCUCAGAAAGUCACAGCACCCAUUUCAUGUUCUGUGAGGCUCCCAAGGAGGGAAACUUCUAGUUUGCUGUCCUUUACCUCACCCCUGUGACCACAGCACUAAUUUCUCAUGAAUUCUUGUUACCAAUGAGAUACAAAUGUUUGGGGAGCUCUGGCCUGGUCUGAUUUUGAGCUCUGUGGAAAUACGCAGACCACGGGGGAGGAGGCCGGGAAAUGGACUCGGUUUGAGGGCUUGCUCAAGGAUGCGGUUUUGUUUUUCGGCUGAUUUACUCCAAGACAGCCAGAGAUUGUUCUGUCGUUGCCACAGAGGUGACUAAACAGGAAGGUAAGUUUGAGGUAGGAAGAAAACCAUCCCCAGGAGUUUCAUGUAGCAAAGAAGGAAGUAGCUGUUACAAAUGGGUGACAGUUUACAUGUGGGUCUAACAGUCUCAGCUCUGUUGUUCAAUCUUUCAGUUAUACUCAGAGAGUAAGCGGGAGGAGCCUUGGGGCUGCUAUUGAGUGCAGCAUCCUGAAGGCUGUUCUUCAAGUGUUACUCAGACUACUAUCCCAAGAGCACUCAAGGCAGUUCUUCCUCCAUCCCUGCUCCCUAGCUCCCUUGGCUUUGAUGAGUUUAUUACAAAAGGGCUAUUCACUUUAGAAUAGGAGGGUAAUUAAGACUCCUGGUCUGCAGCCCAG